rnacentral:rRNA from 1 species
AUGAAGCUUCCUCCAAAUUCACACCACACACCAAACAGGGGAUUUGGACUAAAAAUCUACUUCUCAAGCCUAAUCCCUAGACAAACUCCCUUCUGUAAACUCCCAAUCCCUUUCCCUCAGGCUGCCAAACACGCUGAGAAUUCUUUCCCCAUCUCCCCCGACCCCCGUGCCGCCCCUCCUGACGACUCGAGUGGUCUUGCCGGCUUGCCCUGCGCAGACCUGGCCAUGGAGGGUUGCCGUGGUGGUCUGGCCGGUCUUGGUGGCGCAACUUCUCAUGGCGGCGACAGCGCAGGAGUGGUCUUGCCAACCAGGGAGGCAAAGCUCCUUCAUCAGCGACCGGCGCAGGAGGCGAGGGGUCCACUCCCAGCCGCCGCCAGUGCCUUGGGUGGGAGAGGCCCGCCCAGGCAGGGGGCUACCAUCCUCAGCACCAUUGUAUCUUGCCGUGUCGUGUUGUAA